AUUGAACGCUGGCGGCAUGCCUUACACAUGCAAGUCGAACGGCAGCACGGGUGCUUGCACCUGGUGGCGAGUGGCGAACGGGUGAGUAAUACAUCGGAACAUGUCCUGUAGUGGGGGAUAGCCCGGCGAAAGCCGGAUUAAUACCGCAUACGAUCUACGGAUGAAAGCGGGGGACCUUCGGGCCUCGCGCUAUAGGGUUGGCCGAUGGCUGAUUAGCUAGUUGGUGGGGUAAAGGCCUACCAAGGCGACGAUCAGUAGCUGGUCUGAGAGGACGACCAGCCACACUGGGACUGAGACACGGCCCAGACUCCUACGGGAGGCAGCAGUGGGGAAGUUUGGACAAUGGGCGAAAGCCUGAUCCAGCAAUGCCGCGUGUGUGAAGAAGGCCUUCGGGUUGUAAAGCACUUUUGUCCGGAAAGAAAUACUUGGCCCUAAUACGGUCGGGGGAUGACGGUACCGGAAGAAUAAGCACCGGCUAACUACGUG
rnacentral:rRNA from 1 species